GAUGAACGCUGGCGGCGUGCCUAAUACAUGCAAGUCGAGCGAACAGACGAGAAGCUUGCUCCUCUGAUGUUAGCGGCGGACGGGUGAGUAACACGUGGAUAACCUACCUAUAAGACUGGGAUAACUUCGGGAAACCGGAGCUAAUACCGGAUAACAUUUUGAACCGCAUGGUUCAACAGUGAAAGACGGUCUUGCUGUCACUUAUAGAUGGAUCCGCGCUGCAUUAGCUAGUUGGUAAGGUAACGGCUUACCAAGGCAACGAUGCGUAGCCGACCUGAGAGGGUGAUCGGCCACACUGGAACUGAGACACGGUCCAGACUCCUACGGGAGGCAGCAGUAGGGAAUCUUCCGCAAUGGGCGAAAGCCUGACGGAGCAACGCCGCGUGAGUGAAGAAGGUCUUCGGAUCGUAAAACUCUGUUAUUAGGGAAGAACAAAUGUGUAAGUAACUAUGCACAUCUUGACGGUACCUAAUCAGAAAGCCACGGCUAACUACGUG
rnacentral:rRNA from 1 species